rnacentral:rRNA from 1 species
UGCCAGACUCCUACGGGAGGCAGCAGUGGGGGAUAUUGGACAAUGGGGGGAACCCUGAUCCAGCGAUGCCGCGUGAGGGAAGAAGGUUUUCGGAUUGUAAACCUCUGUGGACAGGGACGAUAAUGACGGUACCUGUCAAGAAAGCCACGGCUAACUACGUGCCAGCAGCCGCGGUAAUACGUAGGUGGCGAGCGUUGUCCGGAAUUACUGGGCGUAAAGCGCUCGUAGGCGGUAUGUCAAGUCAAGGGUGAAAUCCCCGCGCUCAACGUGGGAACUGCCUUUGAAACUGGCAAACUGGAGUGUGUGAGAGGAUAGUGGAAUUCCAGGUGUAGGAGUGAAAUCCGUAGAUAUCUGGAGGAACAUCAGUGGCGAAGGCGACUAUCUGGCACAUAACUGACGCUGAGGAGCGAAAGCGUGGGUAGCAAACAGGAUUAGAUCCCCCAGUA